rnacentral:rRNA from 1 species
UACAGAGGGUGCGAGCGUUGUCCGGAAUCACUGGGCGUAAAGGGCGCGUAGGCGGCCUGAUAAGUAGGGGGGUGAAAUCUUGCGGCUCAACCGCAAGGCUGCCUUCUAAACUGUCAGGCUGGAGCACGGUAGAGGCAGAUGGAAUUCCCGGUGUAGCGGUGGAAUGCGUAGAGAUCGGGGAAGAACACCAGUGGCGAAGGCGGUCUGCUGGGCCGUUGCUGACGCUGAGGCGCGACAGCGUGGGGAGCAAACAGG